CAUCCACAUACACCUGUGCACUGUUUAGCCUGAGCCGGUUUUCCGGUCCAGGUUUAUCAUUUCAUACAAAACUCUAGUCUUAUGAAUGUAAACGUUUUAAUAACAUAAUAAAACUUUCAACAACGGAUCUCUUGGUUCUCGCAUCGAUGAAGAACGCAGCGAAAUGCGAUAAGUAAUGUGAAUUGCAGAAUUCAGUGAAUCAUCGAAUCUUUGAACGCACCUUGCGCUCCUUGGUAUUCCGAGGAGCAUGCCUGUUUGAGUGUCAUGAAACUCUCACCCUCUAGCUUUCUUAAUCGUGGCUAGCGGCGUGGACGUGAGCGCUGCUGCUUUGUUGCGGCUCGCUCGAAAUGCAUUAGCAGACCCCUUUCGUAAUCGGUUCCACUCAACGUGAUAAGUAUUUCGUUGAGGACAGUUGCAGCAAUGCGGCUGGCCGGGAUAGGAAAGGCAUAGUUGUCAGCUUCUAAUCGCCCUUGGGCAAUUUUUUAUGAUCUGGCCUCAAAUCAGGUAGGACUACCCGCUGAACUUAAGCAUAUCAAUAAGCGGAGGA
rnacentral:rRNA from 1 species